UAAAGAGUCAUGGAGGUAGAGCACUGUUUGGACUAGGGGCCCUUCUCGGGUUACCGAAUUCAGAUAAACUCCGAAUGCCAUGUACUUAUACUCGGGAGUCAGACUGCGAGUGAUAAGAUCCGUAGUCGAAAGGGAAACAGCCCAGACCACCAGUUAAGGUCCCCAAAUAUAUGUUAAGUGGAAAAGGAUGUGGGGUUGCUUAGACAACCAGGAUGUUGGCUUAGAAGCAGCCACCAUUGAAAGAGUGCGUAAUAGCUCACUGGUCGAGUGACCCCGCGCCGAAAAUGUACCGGGGCUAAACAUAUUACC
rnacentral:rRNA from 1 species